rnacentral:misc_RNA from 1 species
UCCCCGCUCACAAUCCACAAAAAAUAAAAAAUAUUUUUAUGAACUCUGAGCGGGGCAGUCUCGUGUGACAUAUUCAACACACGACGAGGGUUGCGUUCGUUACCCCACUUAAGGGAACAAUUCAAACCACGAACUGACGACGGCCAUGCAUCACCUGCCCAAUUGUCCUUGUGAGACAUCUCAAGUUUCCUCGAGACUUCAAUUGGGUUUCAAGCCCGGGUGAGGUUCUUCGUUUACCGACGAAUUGAACCACAUGAUCCACCGCUUGUGCGAGCUCCCGUCUAUUCCUUUGAGUUUUAGCCUUGCGGCCGUACUCCCCAGGCGGUUCUCUUAACGCGUUAGCUUGGCCUCUCAGAGGGUCGAUACUCCGAAAAGCGAGAGAACAUCGUUUAGGGCGUGG